rnacentral:rRNA from 1 species
AUUGAACGCUGGCGGCAUGCUUUACACAUGCAAGUCGAACGGCAGCACGAGUGCUUGCACUUGGUGGCGAGUGGCGGACGGGUGAGUAAUACAUCGGAACGUGUCCUGAAGUGGGGGAUAACGCAUCGAAAGAUGUGCUAAUACCGCAUAAUCUCUGAGGAGGAAAGUAGGGGAUCGAAAGACCUUAUGCUUUUGGAGCGGCCGAUGUCUGAUUAGCUAGUUGGUGGGGUAAUGGCUUACCAAGGCUACGAUCAGUAGUUGGUCUGAGAGGACGACCAGCCACACUGGGACUGAGACACGGCCCAGACACCUACGGGUGGCUG